UUAUCAGGAACGAAAAAAAGCGUGACAAAGUAUUUCUAUUCUUUUUUUUUCGUGUCUAAACACUCAUCAUCUUAUCUGAGAAUCGAUUUCAUUUGUUAGAUGGCAUUGCGAGGAGUUUGGCAACUUAAAAAGCUGAUUGUAAGCUAUUGUGAUUGGGGAGGUAGUAGUAGGGGCAUCAGGUAUGAUUUUAAUCAUUCUUUUUUUUCCACUUAUUAAAUAUAUGAUCACCAAAGUAGUGGGAUAUCAUAGAUUAAAUAUAUGAUUAUCAUGUCUCAAAACAUGUAUCUUGCCAAUUUCUCAGAGAACAAAAACGAGCGGGUGGUAUCCUUGAAGAAUAUGACUCCUGAAGAUAUCCUUCUUUAUGCAACCAGGCUAAGAAACGCAUUGGGAAGAAAUGUGGUGAAAUUGAAGACAAUGCAUGUAACUAAACACCUUAGUGUGCAAGGUACAUGGACAACCGAUGUGAAAUUUUGAGACACGGUAGUACCAAGUUCUUCACAAUUUUGUCUGUAUGUUUCUUUAUUGUUCUAUGUAGUCAUGAUGGCAACUUUGCUGAAACAUUCACUCUUUGGAGGUGCAUGAAACUAUUGUGUAAUGAACAAAGACUAAUGAUGUCGUAAUAGAUGAUUGGACCCAAAUAUUUAAUAA